rnacentral:rRNA from 1 species
UACGUAGGGUGCGAGCGUUAAUCGGAAUUACUGGGCGUAAAGCGUGCGCAGGCGGUUUUGUAAGCCGGAUGUGAAAUCCCCGGGCUUAACCUGGGAAUGGCAUUCGGGACUGCAAGGCUGGAGUGCGGCAGAGGAGACUGGAAUUCCUGGUGUAGCAGUGAAAUGCGUAGAUAUCAGGAGGAACACCGAUGGCGAAGGCAGGUCUCUGGACAGUUCCUGACGCUGAGGCACGAAGGUCAGGGGAGCAAACGGG